UAUUUCAAUGGCAAAACAAAAACCAGGCCAAACAGACAACAUAUUUUUGUUACUAAAAAAGGAAAUGACCUAAUCUGAAGCAACAUGUUCACUAAUCGCCCAAUUUGAAGAUGCUUUUGAACACAUCCUCAACCAACCAAUUCCGCGAACCUUAACACGAGAUGAAAGACAUUUUUCUACAUCUGGAAUGCUUGUCCUAAAACUAAGAUUUCACUACUGGAUAGUAAAAUUCAUGCUUGUGAGAUUUACAAUUUUAUUUUAAGAGUAAGGUUUAAAUAUUAAAUAUUUGUGAUAUUAUCUUUGGAUUUUUAAAACGAUUUUUACUUGGCAUUUAUUCUGUGUUAAUGUUUCCUUCUAAUUUUACCUUCUAAUUACUAUCAAAUGCCUAUAUCAGGUAGAUGUCAUUUUUACAUGUUAUGGAAACAUGUAAUUUUGUCACAAUAUUUUGGUUCACAAUAGUAAUAGCCAAGCAUUUAUUAUUACACUUUUUUUUUCCCACAGAAAACCUUUCAAACUUUUAGUAUAACCCUAUCACAGAAAAACUAUUCAUUGUCUAUUAUUGUGGCCAAUCUUUAUUAUUUAAAAACACGUAAGUGAAGUGUUAUGGAAAAAAUACAGAAUAAAUUGUGAUUUGGGGAAUUCCCGGGAAUUCCAAUUUCUUGUUUCUGCCUCACAAAAAUGAUUAUCCGUCAGGAAUUUGGAAACAGUAGCCUGUAUUAAGGCAGCCAUGGUGAAAGUAGAGAGGAAAGGAAAAAAUAAAGAGGUAUUUAAGAGGUAAACCAUCAGAUUUAGUGGCUGAUUUGAUGUGAGAAAUAGGGGAGAAAUGACUCUAGAAUAACUUUUUAAAUGUCUGGUUUUACAGAUGUGGAUGAUGAAGAUUUCAGGAAGGAAAGCAGUGUGGGGCAGUGAGAUUGCUGGAACACAGAAAGUUGAAGGAGCCUGAGUCAUGCGCCUGAGAGUGUCCUCAGCAAAGAGAAAGGAAGUGUCCACCUGUGCUGGUGUGGGUCUUCCUCCCUAUUUGGCUAUGCUCUGGAGGUUCUUCAGGAAGGAUGGGCCAAUCACCUUUCCUGCCUGAGAUGCUGAGGUUCCCUGCCAAUGCUUGUGGGUAGAAAAGAGACCAAGGUAAAUGUCCCUACUUUGCAAUUGGAGGACAUGAGGCUGGGGAGACACAAAAGAACUCACUCUAGGAUUAUAGUCAAUAGAUGGGAGAGAUGAAAAUAACCUGAGUAAUAGGCCCCAUCACCUAAUCUGCUGAGGAUGGAAGGGUGGAUAGCUAGAUAGAGCUAGCAGAAAGAGACCUUAGUCAUCUAAGCCAACCUCUUCAUUUUAUAGAAAAUUGAAAUCUGGAGAGGAAUGGUGACUUGCCCCCUUACACUACUGAAAAACCUCCCUUUUUUGGAUACAAUCUGAUCCUUUGUGCUUCUACUAGAGAUGAAGUCGGGCUAAUUCUAAACAACUGCAUUCAUUCCAGGACCCUAGGGAGCCAAGGAACACUUGCAGGGCCAAUACUACCUACCUUUACCUGAAGUCCCAACCAAUUAAUUCAGCAAAUAAAUAAGUGAAUUUCAGCUAAAUAAUCACAAGCACGCCCCCGUGGGACUGAUGGAAGACCCCUGAAGCUGGGUGGCAGAGAGCAGAGCUGCAGGAAACUCGAGACGCCUGCCUUGAAGAACCCAGCGACUGGUCCGGCUCUUCAUCCAACAGACGCAAUGGCAUCCGAACAGAAGGAACUUUUUCUCUGUCCUACCACCUUUUGGAAAUUUACUCUGGGGUGCUGGGCAGAGGGAGGCGCAGGACCGGCUUACACUGUUCACGAACACUUUAGAGCCUCCACUUACAGCGCUGAUGCCCUCCCGGGACGGAGGAGGGCUCUGUAAAUCAAGCCCUUCUCGGUUCGUCAGCCCUGGAUCUGCUGAGUCCUCACGUCAAAGGCAAGUUGGAACAGAGUGGAGACUUUGGCAAAAGACUUUCUCCCCCUCCAGCUCCCCAUUUUAAUGAAACAAUUCUAGGGUGAGGUUGGUCCGGGAAUUAUUUCUCUGACUCACAUUCCCUUUGCUCUUUUUCACACACUCAGAAGCAGCACCUCUGAGUCCCUUGUAGCCCUGGGCACAGGGAAGCCAGGGUUGGGGCAGAGCUGCACUGGGGCCCACUCCACUCCCAAGGCUGAGAAGACAAACAGGGAGGCGUGUCUCCCAAGCCGAUUUCUUUCAUCACCCCAAGCUAUCUGGGGACACCGUUGCUACACACCUCAUGAAGAAGCCGCAAACUGGUUCUCGCUCUCAAAUAAGCAGGUGGGAAUAGGUCUGCUUAAGAUCCAGUACAAAGCUGAUAGAGAGUUAAGCUAAGCAAGAAGGGAGGCGGUUGGUCUGACCUCUGCCCUUCUUGUUGAGCAAGGAGCAAGGGGGACACUGCCUCUUCAGAGACUUGGGCUAGCCCGGGAGACACAGACCCUGGCCCGGAAAAGCAGCUGGGCCAUCUGGGCGGGUCCUGUCCCAGGCUUCAUCUUUCAUAAUCUGAUCUACUCUGUUGGCACUGAGCGUGCAAAGAUGACGACGACAUAGU